AGCAGCCGCGGUAAUUCCAGCUCCAAUAGCGUAUAUUUAAGUUGUUGCAGUUAAAAAGCUCGUAGUUGAAUUUCGGGGUUAGUAGGUUGGUCAUGCCUCUGGUAUGUACUGGUCUCACUGAUUCCUCCUUCCUGAUGAGCCGUAAUGCCAUUAAUUUGGUGUUGCGGGGAAUUUGGACUGUUACUUUGAAAAAAUUAGAGUGUUUAAAGCAAGCUAACGCUUGAAUACAUUAGCAUGGAAUAAUGAAAUAGGACGUUCGAUCCUAUUUUGUUGGUUUCUAGGAUUGACGUAAUGAUUAAUAGGGAUAGUUGGGGGCAUUAGUAUUCAAUUGUCAGAGGUGAAAUUCUUGGAUUUAUUGAAGACUAACUACUGCGAAAGCAUUUGCCAAGGAUGUUUUCAUUAAUCAAGAACGAAAGUUAGGGGAUCGAAGACGAUCAGAUACCGUCGUAG
rnacentral:rRNA from 1 species